GUGAAUCAUCAAAUUUUUGAACGCAAAUUGCACUCCCUGGUAUUCCGGAGAGUAUGCCUGUUUGAGGGUCAGUAUAAAUAAAAAUCGAGGUGUUGCUUAUGGUGACGCCAUCGGAAUUGGGCCAUUUUUGUCUUUGGGUUUUUUUAAGGGCCUUAAAUUGAUAAUUUUUUGAUCUCAGACGGAC
rnacentral:misc_RNA from 1 species